rfam:Schistosoma mansoni, Puerto Rico, WGS project CABG01000000 data, contig: 0124
CGCCUUAUGAAUCCGUGCUGAGAUUUCGUCAGACACCAAACCAUCGGUACUGAUGAUACUCCCAAGAUAAGUGAAGCA